CCUACGGGAGGCAGCAGUCGAGAAUCUUCGGCAAUGGACGCAAGUCUGACCGAGCGACGCCGCGUGCGGGAUGAAGGCCUUCGGGUUGUAAACCGCUGUCAGAGGGGAUGAAGUGUACGGGAGUUAUCUCCUGUAUUUGACAGAGCCUCAGAGGAAGUACGGGCUAAGUUCGUGCCAGCAGCCGCGGUAAUACGAACUGUGCGAACGUUAUUCGGAAUCACUGGGCUUAAAGGGUGCGUAGGCGGCUGCCUAAGUCAGGUGUGAAAUCUCUCGGCUCAACCGGGAAACUGCGCUUGAUACUGGGCGGCUCGAGUGAGGUAGGGGUGUGUGGAACUUCCGGUGGAGCGGUGAAAUGUGUAGAUAUCGGAAGGAACGCCAGCAGCGAAAGCGGCACACUGGGCCUUUUCUGACGCUGAGGCACGAAAGCUAGGGGAGCGAACGGGAUUAGAUACCCCGGUAGUCCUAGCCGUAAACACUGAACACUCGAGGAGGGGGCUUCGGCCUUCUUUCUCUUAGCGAAAGCGUUAAGUGUUCCGCCUGGGGAGUAGUGUCGCGAGCGUGAACGUUAAAGUAGAAGUUAGACGGCGUGAGACGUGCCGAACGGACGACGACGAGGGAGGUUAGG
rnacentral:rRNA from 1 species